rnacentral:hammerhead_ribozyme from 1 species
AUCCAGCUGCCGAAUCCUAAAUAGGACGAAACGCGCAUCCUGGAU